AUUGAACGCUGGCGGCAUGCCUUACACAUGCAAGUCGAACGGCAGCGCGGACUUCGGUCUGGCGGCGAGUGGCGAACGGGUGAGUAAUACAUCGGAACGUACCCUGUUGUGGGGGAUAACUAGUCGAAAGAUUAGCUAAUACCGCAUACGACCUGAGGGUGAAAGUGGGGGACCGCAAGGCCUCACGCAGCAGGAGCGGCCGAUGUCUGAUUAGCUAGUUGGUGGGGUAAAGGCCCACCAAGGCGACGAUCAGUAGCUGGUCUGAGAGGACGAGCAGCCACACUGGGGCUGAGACACAGCCCAGACUCCUACGGGAGGCAGCAGUGGGGAAUUUUGGACAAUGGGGGCAACCCUGAUCCAGCAAUGCCGCGUGUGUGAAGAAGGCCUUCUGGUUGUAAAGCAUUUUUGUCCGGAAAGAAAUCGCGCUGGUUAAUACCUGGCGUGGAUGACGGUACCGGAAGAAUAAGCACCGGCUAACUACGUGCCAGCCGCCGCCGUAA
rnacentral:rRNA from 1 species